rnacentral:rRNA from 1 species
UGGGGGAGCAAACAGGAUUAGAUACCUGGUAGUCCACGCCGUAAACGAUGAGUGCUAAGUGUUGGAGGGUUCCGCCCUUCAGUGCUGCAGCUAACGCAUUAAGCACUCCGCCCGGGGAGUACGACCGCAAGGUUGAAACUCAAAGGAAUUGACGGGGGCCCGCACAGCGGUGGAGCAUGUGGUUUAAUUCGAAGCAACGCGAAGAACCUUACCAGGUCUUGACAUCCUUUGACCACUCUAGAGAUAGAGCUUCCCCUUCGGGGGCAAAGUGACAGGUGGUGCAUGGUUGUCGUCAGCUCGUGUCGUGAGAUGUUGGGUUAAGUCCCGCAACGAGCGCAACCCUUAUUGUUAGUUGCCAUCAUUUAGUUGGGCACUCUAGCGAGACUGCCGGUGACAAACCGGAGGAAGGUGGGGAUGACGUCAAAUCAUCAUGCCCCUUAUGACCUGGGCUACACACGUGCUACAAUGGGAAGUACAACGAGUCGCGAAGUCGCAAGGCUAAGCUAAUCUCUUAAAGCUUCUCUCAGUUCGGAUUGUAGGCUGCAACUCGCCUACAUGAAGCCGGAAUCGCUAGUAAUCGCGGAUCAGCACGCCGCGGUGAAUACGUUCCCGGGCCUUGUACACACCGCCCGUCACACCACGAGAGUUUGUAACACCCGAAGUCGGUGAGGUAACCUUUAGGAGCCAGCCGCCUAAGGUGGGAUAGAUGAUUGGGGUGAAGUCGUAACAAGGUAACCA